rnacentral:misc_RNA from 1 species
CAGCAACCUUACAUUCGGAUGAAAAAGAAAUCUACUCGAUACCAGUAGAAACCCAUAAAACGAUAAAUCUAGAAAAUUCAACUUAGCACAUAAUAAUGCGAAACAAGAAUGUAAUGGGAUUCUUCCAUCAGAAAACAACCGAUUAGGCAGAUCCAAUUAACUAAUCAGAAAAAGAAAAUGACAAAUACAUAUAAUUCCACAAAUUAUAUGCAUCAAAAGAAGCUCCAAAUCAAGCUUAAACCUUAAUUGUUAUCAUUAUCAAGGGCACGCAACAAGCAAGGGAUAAAAGCACAAACACCAUCAAAUCAAAACCCUAGCUGCAAUUUACACGACCAUACUGACAAGCAUCUAACACAAUAGAAACAAUUAAAUAGAGCAACCAAAUAAGAUCUGACGGGAAAAAAACGGUUGAUUAUGACUUAUGAGCAUAACCGAG